GGAUGUAAAUUAGGCAGUCUGCCAUGACAUCUGUCACUCCAUCAUCAGCAGGAUUAAGUCAGCUGGCCUGACUGCUCAUAUGACUAUCCUCUUUCUCCUUCCCACUCCAUAUGGGUCCUUCCCAGAAUUGCACUCUUGGUGGAAGAGUUUGACCUUCUUCAUGGAGUAAAAUUGAUCUUUGAAUCAUGGUCAAGGGAACAUGAGUAACUGCGCUUUUCUGCUAAAACUCCAAACAAGCCCCUCUAAGUAGAUCAGGAAGGUUCCAGCCCACUGGGCUACCAAAUGGGAUACCCUCUUU
rnacentral:snRNA from 1 species